UUCCCUCUCCCCACGAUGGAAAGUAUUCCACCCGUCCAUCUCUUUCCCCCAUGGAAAACCAAAUAUCUUGCCCACGGUCCCUUCCUCUCCAAUCUUUCUCUCUCAAAUCUCUCUACCCUAGAAACCAAACUAAUACAGAGCAAGCGCGGCGAUGGAUCUAAAAAGCAUAUGGGGCCAUGGAUCUAGCGUUCCUGAUCUAGAUCAGGUUGUCCUCGAAUUCACCCUAAUCACGAUUUGGAUCAAAUCCUCAAUCUUUUGAAGUACAAUUUCUGGAUCAGUUGUCCUCGAAUUCAUCCUAAUCACGAUUUGGAUCAAACCCUCAAUCUUUUGAAGUACAAUUUCUGUAUGCCUUAUGGAGAUCGGACCGGAGCACAACUAUGCCCAUCAGGCAGCCCUUGCACAAGAGAUGCCGGAGAAGCGGGAGUAACCCCAUCGCAUGUAGCUCAGUAUGCGUGGCAUCCAAGAAGCUGCUUCGAUCGCAGACUACAUGCUCAGGUCCAUGGAUGCAUGCAUAAAAGCAAGCUAGGACGUAAGACAGGUUAAAUCUAACAAGAGACAUCACCAACCAAAAACCUAACAACUCAUCAACUUAGUUAUAAUGCUAUCCUAACUGUUAAGAGACAUAAUAACUAAAGAAGAUACAAAUUCUCAUUGGGAUGAGCUCUACAAACAGCUGGUACAUGACAAUGUAUGUGUGCUGGAAUGAGAAACUCACACACUGCGAAAGGUACGGCCUCUGAUGCUAUGGACUCUGAUGUUAUAGAAGCUAUGAUUUGUGAUGCUAAUCUUGCAUGUUCAGACCUGCUACGAUCAAAUUUGCUCAAAUUAUUCCGUGGUGUAUUAAAUAACAUGCCCUUUUGUAGUUUGUUUUGCUGACAUAUAUAAAAUUUCAUUUGGGCCAUUCGUUACAGUACUUCAAUUAUGUGUUCUUGAGCGGCGAUUAAUACAUUAAUACCGAGGGAGUCCUCUAUCCAGUGAUUUUGUCGUACGUAAUAUUAUCUUACACAAGUUACUAUCAAUUGUAUAAUUUGAUCAGUGUUGUAUUCAGUUAGAAAGGAAUUUUGUUUCAGUGACUACCCUUCCAAAUUUUGUACCAAUAAUAGUUGUCUUUUGUAAAGAUAUUUCUCUAAAUAUUUUACUUCAUGAUCAGUGGUCUAGCUGGCACAAUUCUCUAAUAUAUUAUAUAAAUCAUUUUAACUUUUCAAAGUGACCGGAUUCUAUAUAGAUUGUUGGUUAUUGUGUGCUAUAGUUGUUUUAGUAGUGCUCGCACUCAUUAAUGGAUGAUUUUUUUAGAGACCUCUCCUUCAAUACUUUUUUAAUAUGGUGAUGAAAUUCCGAAGAACAAUUCUUAUGCCCAUGGUAUGACCUGGGCACUGAGUAAUGAGUAAUGCAAGCUUGGGUCUUGGUAGUGGGAUAAAUGGAAAAUCAUAUCGAUUAAUAACUAAAUACAAAACUAAAUUUGCAGGUUGGCCGGCGAGCGCUGGCACCAACCAGAGGAUGCAUUGGCGCACAGAGAAGUGCCAGUUCAUGCCGAUGAGCGAUGAUUGUCAAUGGAGAUUACAUGUGGCUGCGGAAGCAUAAAAAGCAUGGUGAUAAGAAAGGAUUGAUCAGGUUUGUAUUGUCUGACGCAUUUGUGCAAGAACCAAGUAAUUGCUACAGUGCCAGUUAGGUUGCUCUGGGAGGACUUCUUUCUGCCAUAUAAGGAUUAAAGCACCUUGAUUGAUUCAUGGAGGACGCACCAAACAAGGAUUAUUUACUACUGGAUCUACCGGCCAGAAAAACAGAGCACACGCCCGUGAUUGCCCAAGUCCGGAAGGGACAAGGCCACUAUGUAAUAUAUAUCCCAGUUAGCUCCAACACUUAAGUUCCUGUGCCUCCUGAUGUUAUUCACUAACUAGACUUAGGAAUGUGAGAAACGUCAUUUUGUAAUAUGCCUUGCUGGAGCAAGAUUGAAUUGCUGGACCAAGGUCUACAUCUAUAUUCCCUUAUGUUUUUCA